UCUCACCGACUUCAAGAAUGAAGCCGUGGAUCCUCGUGCUGACAGAAUCAAGUUUUAAAGAUCCAGUUAAAUGCCUGGCUAUCAACUUGCCAAGAGCUGAUCCAGAUGGAAGCCAUCAUCCUAAGAGUCAGACAACUCAUUAACUCUAAAGGGACUGCCAUGUAUUAAAAAUUCUCUUUAUGGAUUGUGA